rnacentral:tRNA from 1 species
GCCUGGGUGGCUCAGUGGUUGAGCGUCUGCCUUUGGCUCAGGGAGUGACCCCAGUCCUGGGAUCGAGUCCCACAUCAGGCU